UACGUAGGGUGCGAGCGUUGUCCGGAAUUACUGGGCGUAAAGAGCUCGUAGGUGGUUUGUCGCGUUGUUCGUGAAAUCUCACGGCUUAACUGUGAGCGUGCGAGCGAUACGGGCAGACUGGAGUACUGCAGGGGAGACUGGAAUUCCUGGUGUAGCGGUGAAAUGCGCAGAUAUCAGGAGGAACACCGGUGGCGAAGGCGGGUCUCUGGGCCGAUAUCGACGCUGAGGAGCGAAAGCGUGGGGAGCGAACAGG
rnacentral:rRNA from 1 species